AUAACAGGGUACACACUCACAAACACACUAUAAAUGUUUUUCAGAUGCUAUCACAGUCAGAUUAAUAGAAAUAUAAUUCAACAUUUGUGUUGUUGUGUUCAGGAGUCCAACGCUGGUCAAGAGCCUGCCAUCCAGUCUGGGUUAUGGGGCGGCUCUCAACGCCGUUUUUGUUCGUGUAUGUGUGUGUGUGUGUGUGUGUGUGUGUGUGUGGUUGGCAUGGUCUUUUCUCUCUCAUCUGGUCUCCAUUACGACUGGGAGUAUAAAACUACUGCACUGAGAGAGAGAGCUCCACAAAGCCGACUUAACACACUAACCCCCACAAGCUAACACACUCGUGCAGCUUUUGCUAUGGUGCUGUGGGUCUUUUUGCUCUUUCUGCAGGGAUGUCUGCUCACACAUGCUCUGGACUGCAGGGGCAGGAGUGUGGACUGUGUCAGUACACAGGCUACAGAGGUCAAGGUUAAAGAUGAUUCCUUGUCUUCUCUGAUGAGCGCUCAAAGACAAGCUCAACUCACUCAGCAGCCUGGAUCUUAUUCAGUCAAAGGAUCUCCUAACACACUCAUCCAAACUGACAGGUCGAGGCGACAUUUGACUGCUAGUAAAAAAAAGCCCCACAGAUCUCGCAUCGGCUCUUACUCACUUCUUUCCCAUAACCACGCAACCAACCAACUGCAGGUCGUAAGUGCUCAUAGACACUUUGAGGAUGUGUCCCAUCCCAAAUUGACUGCAUUAAUGUCUGUGAAGAACAGAUCCAGAAGAAGUGCACCCAAGAGAAAGAAGAACGCAAGGAAUAACACAUGCUCAUGA
ensembl:lncRNA